AUGGCGUCGCCGCAGGUACCACCCCUCCUCCUCCAUGUCCUCCCCUUCCUCUGCGCCGUCCUCCUCCUCGCGGGGACCGCAGCCGCGCGCCGGCACGCGCCGCCGCAGGCGGGCGCGGCGGGGCAGAGCACGUACACGGCGCCCAGCUGCCGGGAGCACACGGCGUCGCUGCUGGACUUCGGGGGCGUGGGCGACGGCAACACCUCCAACACGGCGGCGUUCCGCAAGGCGGUGGAGCACCUGUCGCAGUACUCUGGCGAGGGCGGCGGCGGCGGCAUGCUCUACGUGCCCGCCGGCCGGUGGCUCACCGCGCCAUUCAACCUCACCAGCCACUUCACGCUCUUCCUCCACGCCGACGCCGUCAUCCUCGGCACGCAGGACGUGACCCAGUGGCCGGUCAUCGACCCGCUGCCCUCCUACGGCCGCGGCCGGGACCACGCCGGCGGCCGGUACGCGAGCCUCGUGUCCGGGAGCAACCUCACCGACGUGGUGAUCACCGGCAACAACGGCACCAUCGACGGCCAGGGCGCCACGUGGUGGUCCAAGUACAAGUCCGGCAAGCUCAAGUACACGCGCGGGUACCUCAUCGAGCUGAUGCACACCGACGGCGUCUUCAUCUCCAACGUGACCCUUGUGAACUCGCCGGCGUGGAACAUCCAUCCGGUCUACAGCCGCAACAUCGUCGUGUCCGGCGUCACCAUCCUCGCGCCCACCAAGUCGCCCAACACGGACGGCAUCAACCCGGACUCGUGCUCUCAGGUGCGCAUCGAGGACUGCUACGUCGUCUCCGGCGACGACUGCGUGGCCAUCAAGAGCGGGUGGGACGAGUACGGCAUCGCCGUCGGCAUGCCCAGCGAGCACAUCGUCGUGCGCCGCCUCACCUGCGUGUCGCCGACGAGCGCGGUGAUCGCGCUCGGCAGCGAGAUGUCGGGCGGCAUCCGGGACGUGCGCGCCGAGGACAUCACCGCCAUCGGGACCGAGUCGGCGGUGCGGAUCAAGACGGCGGUGGGCCGCGGCGCGUACGUGCGCGACGUCUACGCGCGACGGAUGAGGCUUGACGGCAUGAAGCGCGUCUUCUGGAUGACCGGCGACUACAAGUCCCACCCUGACGACGGCUACGACAAGACCGCCGUGCCCGUCGUCGAGAACAUCAGCUACCAGGACGUGGUGGCCACCGGCGUCUGGAAGGAGGCGGCGAGGAUGCAGGGCAUCCAGGGCGCGCCCUUCAAGGGCAUCUGCAUGGCCAACGUCACCGCCGAGAUGACCAAGGAGAGGAAGGUGUCGUGGAACUGCGCCGACGUCGAGGGCGUCUCAGCCGGCGUCACCCCAGCGCCAUGCGCGCCGCUGCAGGGCACCCACGCCGGCUCCUGCCCGUUCCCCACCGACACGCUCGCCGUCGACCAGAUCACCGUGCAGCAGUGCUCAUACUCAGUCGCACCUGCUACUACUUCAAUGGCUGGGACAAAGUAG
rnacentral:rRNA from 1 species